rnacentral:rRNA from 1 species
UACGUAGGGUGCGAGCGUUAAUCGGAAUUACUGGGCGUAAAGUGUGCGCAGGCGGCGCCGCAAGUCGAGUGUGAAAGCCCCGAGCUUAGCUUGGGAAUUGCGCUCGAAACUAUGGUGCUGGAGUGUGGCAGAGGAAGGUGGAAUUCCACGUGUAGCGGUGAAAUGCGUAGAGAUGUGGAGGAACACCGAUGGCGAAGGCAGCCUUCUGGGCCAACACUGACGCUCAUGCACGAAAGCGUGGGGAGCAAACAGG